ACCAAGUAACGAAGUUUUUACACAGAACAAUUCAUGGUGCUCAUCUACAUAGAUAAAGAAGGUUGUGAUUUACUCCAGGGGAAGGAAUAAUCAUACGGAUAAGGUUACAACUUGGAAUUAAUCAGAGGCCUUUGUUCCCCUCCCCGGCCAGCAAUGUGCAGCUCUGCAUUUGAAGCCUUUGAUCUACAUUUCUCUAGCCAGAAGGAGGACACAGGCAGAAGAAAUCUCAACAAAAGGAUGAGACAUUUCCUCCACACCUCCCAUCUCAUCCCAGCCCAGAGCCAGACCUGCUUGGAAAUGGGAAGAGGCAUAUUUUCUUCAUCAUGAACAUAGUUUACAGUCAGAUAAUAAUCAUAAGGCUAUAAAAUCUUG